GAGUUUGAUCGUGGCUCAGAUUGAACGCUGGCGGCAUGCCUUACACAUGCAAGUCGAACGGCAGCACGGGAGCUUGCUCCUGGUGGCGAGUGGCGAACGGGUGAGUAAUGCAUCGGAACGUAUCCUGGAGUGGGGGAUAACGUAGCGAAAGUUACGCUAAUACCGCAUAUUCUGUGAGCAGGAAAGCGGGGGACCUUCGGGCCUCGCGCUCUUGGAGCGGCCGAUGUCGGAUUAGCUAGUUGGUGAGGUAAAGGCUCACCAAGGCGACGAUCCGUAGCAGGUCUGGGAGGAUGAUCUGCCACACUGGAACUGAGACACGGUCCAGACUCCUACGGGAGGCAGCAGUGGGGAAUUUUGGACAAUGGGGGCAACCCUGAUCCAGCCAUGCCGCGUGAGUGAAGAAGGCCUCGGUUGUAAG
rnacentral:rRNA from 1 species